rnacentral:rRNA from 1 species
AGUGAACGCUGGCGGCAGGCCUAACACAUGCAAGUCGAACGGCAGCACAAGAGAGCUUGCUCUCUGGGUGGCGAGUGGCGGACGGGUGAGGAAUGCAUCGGAAUCUGCCCAUUUGUGGGGGAUAACCUCGGGAAACCGGGACUAAUACCGCAUACGACCUACGGGUGAAAGCAGGGGAUCUUCGGACCUUGCGCAGAUGGAUGAGCCGAUGCCGGAUUAGCUAGUUGGAGGGGUAAAGGCCCACCAAGGCGACGACCCGUAGCUGGUCUGAGAGGAUGAUCAGCCACACUGGGACUGAGACACGGCCCAGACUCCUACGGGAGGCAGCAGUGGGGAAUAUUGGACAAUGGGCGCAAGCCUGAUCCAGCCAUGCCGCGUGUGUGAAGAAGGCCUUCGGGUUGUAAAGCACUUUUGUUGGGAAAGAAAAGCAGCCGGUUAAUACCCGGUUGUCAUGACGGUACCCAAAGAAUAAGCACCGGCUAACUUCGUG